rnacentral:rRNA from 1 species
UACGGGGGGAGCAAGCGUUGUUCGGAUUUACUGGGCGUAAAGGGCGCGUAGGCGGCCACCGCAAGUCGACUGUGAAAUCUCCGGGCUUAACCCGGAAAGGUCAGCCGAUACUGCGGGGCCAGAGUGCAGAAGGGGCAACUGGAAUUCUCGGUGUAGCGGUGAAUGCGUAGAUAUCGAGAGGAACACCUGCGGCGAAGGCGGGUUGCUGGGCUGACACUGACGCUGAGGCGCGAAAGCUAGGGGAGCGAACGGG